AAGGCCUCUUGCUUGCAAGGGGUACUCGAGUGGCGAACGGGUGAGUAACACGUGGGUGAUCUGCCUUGCACUCUGGGAUAAGCUUGGGAAACUGGGUCUAAUACCGGAUAGGAACCGUCUUUAGUGUGGUGGUUGGAAAGUUUUUUCGGUGCAAGAUGAGCUCGCGGCCUAUCAGCUUGUUGGUGGGGUAAUGGCCUACCAAGGCGUCGACGGGUAGCCGGCCUGAGAGGGUGUACGGCCACAUUGGGACUGAGAUACGGCCCAGACUCCUACGGGAGGCAGCAGUGGGGAAUAUUGCACAAUGGGCGGAAGCCUGAUGCAGCGACGCCGCGUGGGGGAUGACGGCCUUCGGGUUGUAAACUCCUUUCGACAGGGACGAAGCGUAAGUGACGGUACCUGUAUAAGAAGCACCGGCUAACUACGUGCCAGCAGCCGCGGUAAUACGUAGGGUGCGAGCGUUGUCCGGAAUUACUGGGCGUAAAGAGCUCGUAGGUGGUUUGUCGCGUCGUCUGUGAAAUUCCGGGGCUUAACUUCGGGCGUGCAGGCGAUACGGGCAUAACUUGAGUGCUGUAGGGGUAACUGGAAUUCCUGGUGUAGCGGUGAAAUGCGCAGAUAUCAGGAGGAACACCGAUGGCGAAGGCAGGUUACUGGGCAGU
rnacentral:rRNA from 1 species